AUAAUUUUAACAUUUGCUUCCAUAAAUGCUCUGACCAGUUUAAUAUGUGACACGUUCUCUAUCUAAGAACUCCCUAUUAAAUGGAUUUUUGCAGCAGGGAGAUGGAAUAGGAGCUUGCUCCGUCCACUUCGCGCACCCUCCUGGCAUUGCAGUGCUUCUAGGAAUGGUGCACCUCCC
rnacentral:snRNA from 1 species